rnacentral:rRNA from 1 species
UACGGGGGGAGCAAGCGUUGUUCGGAUUUACUGGGCGUAAAGGGCGCGUAGGCGGCCACUGCAAGUCAGUUGUGAAAUCUCCGGGCUUAACUCGGAAAGGUCAACUGAUACUGCAGGGCUAGAGUGCAGAAGGGGCAACUGGAAUUCUCGGUGUAGCGGUGAAAUGCGUAGAUAUCGAGAGGAACACCUGCGGCGAAGGCGGGUUGCUGGGCUGACACUGACGCUGAAGCGCGAAAGCGUGGGGAGCGAACAGG